UCCGAGUUGACCCCGGCAGUCUCCUAUGAGUCCCCACCAUGACGUGCUGGCAACAUAGGACGAGGGUUGCGCCACUUAAGGCAACACCUCACGGCACGAGCUGACGACAGCCAUGCAGCACCUGUGCGGGCCCACAAGGGGAAACCGUGUUUCCACGGCGGUCAGGAACAUGUCAAACCCAGGUAAGGUUCUUCGCGUUGCGUCGAAUUAAACCACAUGCUCCGCUGCUUGUGCGGGUCCCCGUCAAUUCCUUUGAGUUUUAGCCUUGCGGCCGUACUCCCCAGGCGGGGCACUUAAUGCGUUAGCUUCGGCACGGGAGGAGUCGACACCUCCCACACCUAGUGCCCAUCGUUUACGGCGUGGACUAC
rnacentral:misc_RNA from 1 species